CCAGAGUUUAAGUAGUGGUUGAUAAUGAAAACGAUUUGGGUUUGUAUCAUCUUAACUUUGGGCCUGUCUUCAGAUUUAUCUCAGGCAAAAGGUGGCUGUCGAGAUCAAAAAAUGGACAUCGCGAUUCUGGCCGACGUAUCAAAAAGCAUGACUCGUGAGCAGCGAAGCGAUCAGAUAAAACUAAUCAAAGAGCUGGUGGAAAAGA